rnacentral:rRNA from 1 species
CCCCUAGUAACGGCGAGUGAAGCGGGAAGAGCUCACGGUGANNNUNNAGCCCUCGGGCCCGAAUUGUAGUCUGAAGAGGCGAGGCCUGCCACUGUCCGUGGCCAAGUCUGAUUGGAAAUGAGCAUCAUGGAGGGUGACAAUCCCGUUCAUGUCGCGGUAUCGAUCAGUGCGCAGAAGGCCCGUUUUCUACGAGUCGAGUUGCUUGGGAUUGCAGCUCAAAGCGGGUGGUAAACUCCAUCGAAAGCUAAAUAUGG